UACUAAAAGAGUAUAUUUUCUCAAUGUGGACUUAAUUAGCAUAGAAAGCAAGAAAUUAAUAACCAAUAGAGGGUAGAAUAGUAACUAAUGAAAGAUAAUUAUGUAACUAAGAACCA